UGCAGUAAUGCCCAUCAUUUGGGACCUUAGAAUGCCUGCUUAGAGUCGCUUGAAAUACUAAUUAAAAGCUCAGAUUCCUCAGACUUGAGCCGCGGGGCUGCGAUUUCAUAGGUCUGGGAGGUGAGCCGAGAAUCAGAUCCUGAAAAUUCUCACAUGCUUCUCCACAGCAAAGAGAGCCGCAAGCAGCUAGAAGACAGGUGCUCAGGGAGCUGAACCAGAACAACAGCUACAAGGAAAAAGGUGACCAGAAGCACGAGGCUAAGGAACUAUUUCUACUCUUCAGAUUAGUGUGUGUUUAAAAAGUUGCCCGUUUGGAUUCAAUAACAGAUACAAAUUGGCCCCAUCAUUGUUUCUACUAUAAGGUCAGAGCAUGGAAAGACCUGAUUUUUGUUUGUUUGUUUCAGUUAGUGUGUUGCUUUUUUAUUUCAGACUUUUUCUCCUUUCUGGGGUGGGAGGAGCGUGGAUUCUGAAUGACAAACAAAACAAGGGAAUUUGUGGUUUGUAGAACAAAAACUGAAUUCAAGAACUGACAUCUGUCCAGAGAGUAGCUAGGAGAGGUUUUUCACUUCCCUUGAGUGGAAACAAUCCAAAAUCUUGGAGGAUUCUCUCUGGAAGGAGACUUGAGCAGGAGGACCAUGUGGCCAAGCAGGUCUUUCUUUUAGAACCCCCCGGAGCCCUGCUUGAGUGGGCCGGUUGCUUCACCUGCCUGAGAUGCAGGUUUCAUACAAUCUGCUCAGUGUGGGCUUGAGUGUGCAGAGCUGCUGAGCCAAGCUGGAUGCUUUAACGAGAUAGAUGGCUAAGUUAAAAGAACAAAAACAAAGGCAGGUAGAUCUAGAAAGAACAAGAAUUACAAACAGAUAACAAACACAAAAUGCUGGCUCUACAUGUUGCCCCGUGUGGCCAGGCCCUUCUAGCUCUAGUCCACUGUGCCUACAGCAGGCAAACUGUACCACAGCUCCAAAGAGCUGGGGCACAAUGAGUCACCCCCUUGACCUCUUGAGCCCCUGGUUCAUCUGAGAAUUCCCAGCUAUCUUCAUCCAUGACUUUAGAGCCUUCCCAGCCCAGACUUUCCUUAGACUCUGCUGUUCCUGGCGCACCAGUAGCCAGGACACUCAUAGACCAAGGGAAACCCUGCAGCAGGAGUUUCGCUCCCUCACAGGUUCUCAGUAGCCUGCACUUUGUUCUCUCUUCAGGAUGAAGCCCCAUUCAGGUCACCUGCUGUCAGGACCUCCUCGUACUCUUUAUUGCCUGUAGAAUUAAGGCUCAUGGUCCCCCACUGCCAGCCUCGAAUCACCUUCAACACUAAACUCCCACUCCUGAGCCCCUCCACCCCAACAACCCACCGCAGCUUCCAGGGUGCUGAGGGCAACAUGUCGGCCGGGUGCUAAUCUAUUUCCUAAUAUUCCAAUGACAUUCUUAGGGCUAGAUAAUUUAUAAAGAAUAAAAAAGGUUUGUUUAGCUCUUAGUCCCACGAGGCCAAGGGUGUGGCAUCAACUGACAUUACAAGGGCACAGUAUAAGACAGGGAGCCAUGGUUUGGCAGGGUCUCAGUACAGCUACGCUGAUCCUUUCCAAGAGUGGGGCCCCAGAUGGCCUGUCUCUUUUCUAGGCCGUGCCUCCUAGAGAUCCCAGGGCCUCGGACCACUGCAAUGGAGAUCAAGGCUCCAGUAUAUGAAUCUUUGAAGGUCACAAUUGACCCUUCACUUGCCGUGGCUUGAGUGUGUCCCCCAGGGUUCCUGUGUUGAAAACCCGAUCCCCAAUUUCAACAGUGUGGGGAGAGCUGGGUGUUGUAAGAGGUGACCGGGUCGUGAUGGGCUGCCCUCCAGAGUGGACCGUGUCAUAACCACAGGAGUGGGUGGAUUUAUUCUAAACAUGACGUUUGGCCUUCUCCUGCCCUCCUGCCCUCUACCACACGAUGAUGCAGCAGGAGAGGCUCUGCCAAGUGCCCGUGCCAUGCUCUUGGUGUUCCUGUCCUCCAGAGCUACCAGCCAAGUAAACUUAUAUUGUUUGUGAAUGAGCCUGUUUCAGCAGCAGACAACAGACUAAGGUAAUCGCCUGUUCUGGUGCCCAUGGCCCUGCAGGCCUUUGGUCUGCGCUUGGCCUCACAGUCCUCAUAUACAAAAAUGCGUCUAUUGAUCAGCCCAUCAGCAGAGGCCGUGCCCACUGCUCCCAGGCCUAGCCUGUUGACACAGCUGCCCUUGUGACUCAGGAGAGCUGUGGGGGACUCAGCUGCUCAGAGGACAACUGAUCGGAGGGUGCUUGCUCCCGUUAGAGAUGGGCGAGAGCCUAGAACCUUCCUAUGAGCAAAGACUUCUCCUGAGGAGGAAAUAGGAAUCACCUUGUUGGCAUGGCUACCCCUCCUCAAGACUGGGACCCAGAAGGGCUGGGAUCGGGGAGUCUGCAAGAGAAGCUGGGUCUGUCUGCCUUUGGGAAGCAGAACAGUGGGGCAGGCUGGGAGGUGGUAGGGAGGUAUGAAACCACUGGGAAAGCAACCACAAUAUUGAUACUGUUUUGCUUAUUAAAAACAGCACUGUUUUUUUCUUAUUAAAAAAAUAUUUCAGACUGGAGAGAUGGCUCAAUGGUUAAGAGCAAGAUCUGUUCCUCUGGAGGACCUGAGUUCUAUUUCCAGCCCUCUCUUGGCAGCGCACAACCAUGUAUAACUCCAGUUCCAGUGAUCCAACCCUCUCUUCUAACCUUCCCAGGUACAGGAUCAAAAGUCCACGGAUAGCAAGGCAAAAGGAAGGCAAAGCACCCAUGUGCAUAAAAUAAAAAAUAAAUUAACAAACCUCA